rnacentral:rRNA from 1 species
AGGGAAUCUUCCGCAAUGGACGAAAGUCUGACGGAGCAACGCCGCGUGAGUGAAGAAGGUCUUCGGAUCGUAAAACUCUGUUGUUAGGGAAGAACAAGUAUCGUUCGAAUAGGGCGGUACCUUGACGGUACCUAACCAGAAAGCCACGGCUAACUACGUGCCAGCAGCCGCGGUAAUACGUAGGUGGCAAGCGUUGUCCGGAAUUAUUGGGCGUAAAGCGCGCGCAGGCGGUCUUUUAAGUCUGAUGUGAAAGCCCCCGGCUCAACCGGGGAGGGUCAUUGGAAACUGGGGAACUUGAGUGCAGAAGAGGAGAGUGGAAUUCCACGUGUAGCGGUGAAAUGCGUAGAGAUGUGGAGGAACACCAGUGGCGAAGGCGACUCUCUGGUCUGUAACUGACGCUGAGGCGCGAAAGCGUGGGGAGCGAAC